AUUGAACGCUGGCGGCAUGCUUUACACAUGCAAGUCGAACGGUAACAGGCCUUCGGGUGCUGACGAGUGGCGAACGGGUGAGUAAUGCAUCGGAACGUACCCAGAGGUGGGGGAUAACGCAGCGCAAGCUGUGCUAAUACCGCAUGUGAUCUGAGGAUGAAAGCGGGGGACCGAGCAGCAAUGUUUGGCCUCGCGCCUUUGUAGCGGCCGAUGUCGGAUUAGCUAGUUGGUGGGGUAAAGGCCUACCAAGGCGACGAUCCGUAGCUGGUCUGAGAGGACGACCAGCCACACUGGAACUGAGACACGGCCCAGACUCCUACGGGAGGCAGCAAUAGGGAAUUUUGGACAAUGGGCGCAAGCCUGAUCCAGCAAUGCCGCGUGAGGGAAGAAGGCCUUCGGGUUGUAAACCGCUUUUGGCAGGAACGAAACGGUGUCCGCUAAUACCGGGCGCUAAUGACGGUACCUGCAGAAUAAGCAACGGCUAACUACGUG
rnacentral:rRNA from 1 species